GUGAGUUGCCGCCAACCGCCCUAACGGCCGAAACAAUGUUAAUGGCUUUCAGAGUCUGGCGGCGCGUUCCCAUUAUCAUCUUCCUGUGACCCUUCCUCAUUUUACACGGAGGAGGUGGUCUCCACAGUGAUUUUAAAUUUAAUAUUUCUCUCAUAACCUUUGUGAGAUAAAAGAAUCUUCAUCCUUUUAACUUUGACGAGGGAUGAAAUGAAGUUUUCCACAACAUUUGGGAAGAUUUACAAGGUAUACUCCAUUUAGGCAAAAAUAACUGUCAGGGAAUAGUCAUUGUCAAGAGCAGUUUGUAUUGCAACCCACAAAUUAUACCUCUAUGUCGGUCCAGAAAUCCUUCAAUUUACCAAGAGAUUAUGUUUGAAAAUCUUAGAAAAAAUAAACAAUCCUGAAAAACUAAGUAGCAUUAAAACACUCCUGGAAUGUAUUUAUUUGAGGAGUAGCAGGAAGAAGAAAGAGAAGGAAGCAGGCUAGGCGUGGUGGCUCAUGCCUGUAAUCUCAGCACUUUGGGAGGCCGAGGCAGGCAGAUCACGAAGUCAAGAGAUCAAGACCAUCCUGGCCAACAUGGUGAAACUCCAUCUCUGCUAAAAAUACAAAAAUUAGCCGGGCGUGGUGGCGCGCGCCUGUAAUCCCAGCUACUCAGGAGGCUGAGGCAGGAGAAUUGCUUGAACUCUGGAGGCGGAAGUUGCAUUGAGCCAAGAUUGCACCACUGCACUCCAGCCUGGGUGACAGAGCGAGACUCCAUCUCAAAAAAAAAAAAGAAAAAAAAGAGAAAAAAGAAAGAAAGAGAAGAAGCAGAGGAGAAGAGGGAAGAGGAGAAGAAACCAACUAUUCUAUAGAAACAAAAUGAAAUCUAAAAUUCUAUGCAAACUUUAAAAAAUAACUUA
rnacentral:lncRNA from 1 species